CGGCGGUAGCGUUGAAGGCGUACGGGCGUGAGCCUGGCUGGAGCUGCCGUCGGUGCAGAUCUUGGUGGUAGUAGCAAAUACUCAAGCGAGAACCUUGAGGACUGAAGUGGAGAAGGGUUCCAUGUGAACAGCAGUUGAACAUGGGUCAGUCGACCCUAAGGUAUCGGCGAAAGCCGUUCAGAAGCGGUGUGGAUAUGUAUGCAGAAAUGUGUACAGGUUAUUGGGUUAACUGCUGGUUGUGAAACAGGUUGGCUGGUAACGGUCGAUGCUGUCAUGGUUGGUAGCCAAUAAUCACCGCACCUGCCGAAAGGGAAUCGGGUUAAUAUUCCCGAACCUGGCAUCGGAGACUGAAUGGCCUUCGGGUCAUUUUAAUGCGGUAACGCAAAUGAACUCAGAGACGCUGACACGUACCCUGGGAAGAGUUGUCUUUUCUUGAUAAGGAGCAAACUGCCUGGAAUCGGAUCAUCCGGCGAUAGGGAGAAAGCAUCCGUAAAGCACCGCGGUUCUUGCGGUGUCCGGUGCGUACGUGUCGGUCCUUGAAAAUCUGAGGGAGAGUGUGAUUUUCGUGCCAGAUCGUACCCAUACCGCAGC
rnacentral:rRNA from 1 species